rnacentral:lncRNA from 1 species
UUUUUUUGUCUUUUUCUAGAGAACAGUUUAUUUUUUUAAUUUUUAUUUUAUUUUUGUGUUUUUCUAGGUAAGUGGAUUUAGUGAUUACCCAGGGUUUCAAUACCAGUGAUGUAACGUUACUGUAAGGCAGAACAUUCUUGUGAAAACUUUCUGUUGAGAGAUGCCUGGAGGAUGCCUCUGUUGAGGAGGUAAACUCAAACCCUAGCUUCCCAACCCCAUGGUCCUCUUCCUCAGGUCUUGCACUAGACCAGGUGGUGGUGGGCAUGCAAAUCCCUUUUGGGAAAGACCAGAAGAAGAGGGUCAUGGGGUUUGGGAAGUGGUGCCUCUUCCCUUCCUAGGGUUUGAGUUUGCCUCUGGGCUUGGGGAGAAAGCCCUGCAGUACCUGAGCCGUGUCAACCUGGAACGGGGGAGAAGGCAGCGUAGACUUGCUCUUGUUGGGCAAAGACAUAAAUGAUGGCGUCCGAGCGACAUCACUAGAAAGGAAGUGCUUACAGCGUGUCAGGUACUAUUUGAAUCAUUUUAUGUUUAAGUCUUUCUCACAGCCUAUGACGCUGUCAUUUCUGUAGGUCAGAGCUGGUAAAAUAUUGUCACUUCGACAUAGUUUACAGAUUUUCCACCUUAAGAUGUGAACAAAAGAUUUUUUAAUAAUGACCCAACGUCCCAAAGCUAAUGGGUGGCUGUACAGAUCAAGUGUUCUUGCAGGAACAAAAGGCACCUUCAGAAGGGGAUGACUGAGACAUUAAUGAAAGACUGCUUACAGAUGGGGUUAAAUGAAAUCAACAAGGAUAGAGGAAGUUUCUGGAAAAGCCAUCUUAAAGCAGUCCAGUGGGCACUGGGAGGUGGCUGGAGCUGGAAGCAGGGGGGUGAAGUGUGUGUGUGUGUCUGUGUUUAGGACGGGUGACUUAGAAGUCACCUCUCAGUGUGCUGGUCUUAUAGAUGGUGCCAGUACAAAAGGACUGAGGUCAGGUGUUUAUUCUUUAUAAUAUACAAUGCCUGUCAAAAAAUUUUGCAGGAGCCAUUCCGAGCACAGCAUGGACCACUGCAAGGGAUUGACAGCUAGAUAUUAGUCACGAGUUCUUAAAUACCAUCCAUUUAUCAUCAGCCCUUAAUUAAUGGGGAUCCUUCUGCCCAGAACACGCAGUGAGACUUCUGCCUCCUCUUUAUCCCCUGCCCCCUGCCGGGUCACACUGAGGAGGAAGGAGAAUGACAUGCAAACAUGAUGUCCAAGUUUGAAGAAGCCACCUGUAGCCAGAGCAGCCAGUUCUUGGUAAGUGUCCGGAUACUGUCAGUCAAGCCCGACUUCCCUCUCAACUUUUCAUCUUUACACUGUCUCUUGCCAACCUCUGUUCCCUCUGUUCCAGCUGCCCCCUUCCUCCACUGGCUCCCAUCCGCUAACCCUGAUGGAUGGAAAAUACUUUCUCAGAAGUGACUAGAAGAAACCUGAGAAAUGACUCUUGCACAAGGAAGCCAGGCUGCCCACCCCAUUUGAGGAUGUGUUCAAUCCUAAGGAUAACUCACCUAUUUUAUUGUAUUUUAUUUUUUGGCUGUACCGAUGGCCUGUGGAAGUUCCUAGGUCAGGGUUGAAACUGCACCACAGCAGUGCCAAUGCCAGAUCUUUAGCCCACUGUAUCACCAGGGAACUCUGCACCCAUUUUAAAAUCUAAGAACAUCCCAACCAAUGCCCAUGGCGCCCACAGCUGGCUUGACUUCCCCAGAUGCUCCUGAUAAUCUAAUUCUCUCCUAACAUAAGAGGUAAUGUCAUGCUUCAUGCUUCAAAUGGACCAUCCCUGUAUCUUUUUUUCAGGAAACACUCCUUCACCUUAAAUUCAAGUGUUUAAAAGUUCAAAGCACUUAAUGUUUGCACAUAAAGUGAAUUUUAGAUUACAUUCUUUUUUGGAGAGAGUCACAUAACGGGCUGUUACAAAUUCAUUCCAAAAAGCAACUUUCAGAUUCUGUCCUGAGGUCAGUAACAUACAUUCCCUUUGCCUCCUGUACUUACAACUCUGUAAUUACAACUCAAGAAAUAAUAUAUGAGGAUUCUGAUACAUGGAAAGAUCCUGAAAAAGUGUUUUGAAUUAUUAAAGAAGAAAUCAUUCAUAGUAUUGGCAUGAAGUAUAUUACACAGUACUGUCAGCCUUUGAACAUUGCUAAGUCAUGUGUGACAUAUACGGUAUAAAGAAAUCAGACUACUCUGUUCUACCUAUUUCUGCUAGUUGAGAAGUUUUAUACAAAAAAUUCAUUUAAUAAUUCUGACACCUGUGGUCAAUUAAUCUUUGACAAAGGAGGCAAAGAAUAUAAAAUGAGAAAAAGACAGUCUUUUCAGCAAGUGGUGCUGGGAAAACUGGACAGCAACAUGUAAAUCAGUGAAACUAGAACACACCCUCACACCAUGCACAAAAAUAAAUAACACUGUAAAUCAGCUAUAAUAGAAAAGAUAAAAAUCAUUAUAAAAAUGGCCUAAAGACUUAAACAUAAGACAUCAUAAAACUAGAAGAGAACAUAGGCAAAAUAUUCUCUGACAUCAACUGUGUAAAUGUUUCCUUAGGUCAGUCUCCCAAGGCAAGAGAAGUAAAAGCAAAAAUAAUGGGACCUAAUCAAACGUAAAAGCUUUUGCACAGCAAAGGAAAUAAAACCCCAAAAAGACACCCUAUGGAAUGGGAGAACAUAGUUGCAAAUGAUACAACGAACAAGGGCUUAAUCCCCAAAAUAUACAAACAACUCAUACAACUCAACAGCAAAAACAAAAACAAAAAGCAAAAAAACCUGAACAACAACAACAAAAACAACCCAAAUGAAAAAUGGGCAGAAAACCUAGAUAUUUCUCCAAAGAAGAUAUACAGAUAGCCAACAAACACAUGAAAAAAAUGCUCAACAUCACUAAUUAUUAGAGAAAUGUAGAUCAAAACUACAAUGAGGUACCAUCUCACACUGGUCAGAACAGCUAUCAUUAAUAAGUCUACAAAUAACAAAUGCUAGAGAGGGUGUGGAGAAAAGGGAACCCUACUUCUCUGUUGGUGGGAAUGUAGACUGGUACAACCAUUAUGGAAAACAGUAUGGAGGUUCCUCAGAGAACUAAAUAUAGAACUACCAGAAGUUUCAGUAAUCCCACUCCUGGGCAUAUAUCUGGAUAAAAAAACUUUCAUUCUAAAAGAUACAUGCACCACUAUAUUCAUUCCAGCACUAUUCACAAUAGCCAAGACAUGGAAACAGCCUAAAUGUCCAUUGACAGAUGAAUGGAUUAAGAAGAUGUGGUAUAUAUACACAAAGGAAUACUACUCAGCCAUAAAAAAGAAAAUACCAUUUGCAGCAACACGGAUAGAACUAGAGAUUCUCAUACUAAAUGAAGUAAGUCAGAAAGAGAAAGACAAAUACCAUAUGAUAUCACUUAUAUGUGGAAUCUAAAAUGUGGCACAAAUGAACCUAUCUACAAAACAGAAACAAACUCAUGGGCAGAGAACAGACUUGUGGUUGCCAAGCAGGAGGGGGAGGGAGUGGGAUGGACUGGGAGUUUGGGGUUAGUAGAUGCAAACUGUUGCAUUUGGAGUGAAUAAGCAAUGAGAUCCUGCUGUAUAGCUUAGAGAACUACAUCCAAUCCCUUGUGAUGGAAAAUAAUGGAAGAUAUGAGAAAAAGAAUGUAUACACAUACACACACACACACACAUACAUAUAUAUAACUUGGGUGUCACUUUGCUGUACAGCAGAAAUUGACAGGACACUGUCAAUCAACUAUAAUAAACAUUUUUUUUUUAAUUUAAAAAAGAUUUUUAAAAAGUCAAAAAAAAUUGGAAGAACUACUGGAUAAGAAACUCAAUCCAGGAGUUCCUGUUGUGGCUCAGUGGGUUGAGGACCUAAUGUGGUCUCUGUGAGGAUGCAGGUUUGAUCCCUGGUCUCACUCAGUGGAUGAAGGACCCGGCAUUGCCACAAGCUGUGGCAUAGUCCACAGAUGUGGACUGGAUCUGGGGUUGCUGUGGCACCUGCAGCUCCAAUUUGACCCCUAGCCCGGGAACUUCCAUAUGCCGGGGUGCGGCCAGUCGUUGCACCUCUGGGUUUUUCUGUUACCACCUCUAGAGAGGAGAUGCGCUACGACCUCCAAGUUAUAAAAAUCCUCCUGUCAUCCCCACCCUUCUCUUUAGAGCCCAAACUUUGGACUUCAGCUGCAGCUCCUUCUGGGGGUGGGUGUUGCCAUCAGAAGCCCUUUGGUGACCCUCGGUCACUUGUACUGGCAUUGUCACUCUUGGGACAUUUCCCUUAGACUUCUGCUGGUCUCUGUUAAACCAUCAUUUAGUUAACACUCCCGCAGUUACAGAGCAGAGGACAGAACCGGCAGCAGAUGGUAUCUGGAAGCAUAAAGUGACAGACCUGGGAACAUUCCUGGGUGAGAAGCUUCUAUUUCCAGAGUCCUGCUCCUCACCCGGUUCCAGCUCCUUUAUCUGGUGAAGUUCCACAUCCUUUAAGGAUCAAGUCCAAUGUCACUUCUACCUCACUUGGGAGAGGCUCUUUCUCCUCUGGGCUCCUAAUUUUUACCCACCACUGUCACAUCUGUCAUCACCUCCUAUUGCAUAUUGAUUUUUUGCCUGCUUGCUCACCUCUUUAGGAAUAUCCUUACAAGUGGCCACGAUUGGUUCUUCUCUAGGGUAGCUUAUUUCCAGGCUCUGUGAGCCUCUGUGUAAGGCCUGCCUUGGGUGAUUAUAACAAACAAAUGCUGAAGCCCUUUUGGGUGCAUCAUUUCAAUCUUUUAAAGAUGAUUUCCGGUGCUUCCCUCCUUGGGAACUUUCUACUUUCCUGUCACUUUGGUGAUUCUUAUCAGUGUUCCCUGGUAGACAAUUAAUGGUAUGAUUUUUUUGACCAAUUAGCUCAGGAAGCUCAGACUUCAGCAUCUUAAAAAAAAAAAAAAAUCCCCAAGUAGAGUUCCCGUCGUGGCUCAGUGGUUAACGAAUUUGACUAGGCACCAUGAGGUUGUGGGUUCGAUCCCUGGCCUCGCUCAGUGGGUUAAGGAUCCAGCGUUACUGUGAGCUGUGGUGUAGGUCGCAGAUGUGGCUUAGAUCCCGCUUUGCUAUGGCUGUGGCAUAGGCUGGUGGCUACAGCUCCGAUUAGACCCUUAGCCUGGGAACCUCCAUAUGCCAUGGGCGUGGCCCUAGAAAAGCCAAAAAAAGAAAAAAAAAAAGAAAAAGAAAAAACGAAAAAAAAAAAAAUCCCCAAAUAAUAACCAGCUCAAGAAUACAAAUGUUCUAUGCAGUUCUGGAAUGCUAUCACUUAUUGACUCUAUUCAUUAAAAAAAAAAGGUGCAUGCAAAUCUAAAAUCCCCACGCAGAAAAUGGAACUAAUCCACAAAUAAGUGCGUGCCUCAUACACACCUACAUACCAACAAGUAACACGAGAAUCAUAGGAACCUGCAUGUGUAGGUUCUGGAUUCAUCUGGAUUCAUGCUGAACAUUGCUAAGCAUUGUGCCAGCUGCUUCACAGGCCCAGUAUCUUUGACACUAUCCUUGAAAUUCAUGAUGGCAUGAGGGUCAUCACACAUAAGCAUUUUCUUUUUGUCCCUCUGAACAAAGUGAACAUUGACCCGGAUACAGGGAAGGAUCCUAGCUGGGGUCACUCACAUCGCUUGAAUCAUAACAAGAGAAAGACUUUUGCAGUCUCCGAACUUUUUUCAAGCAGAAGCAAGCUGCUGUUCCUGAGAUAAAGCAGUGUGAGUUCUCAUAUACAGAGUUAGUGAUGCAUGGCAUUGAGGGGAGAGGUGAGGGGGGAACUCAAUCAUUGCAUCAAACUGCCGUUUUCAAUUUUACAAAGAACUCUUGCAUGUGUUCUUAUUUGAUAAUAGCCUCACAGAAUCAAAGGCUUUUCACCAUAGCAACCUUAGUAGUUGGCCCUUUUUAACAUUGAAGAAACUGAGGCUCAAAUGCUUAAGUGACUCCCUUAGAGUGACAAAACUAGUUAAGUGGUAGGAGAUGGGAUUACUGAGUCCAGGGUCUACGGGUUUAGCUUUUGUUUUUUUAGGACAUGCUUGCUUAAAAAAAGACAGCACUAGUGAGAGACAGUUUCACACAGAGGAAAGCAAAAAUUGAGCCAACCACAGAAGCACCCUCUUUCAAUUAUACAGUGGUUAACACUUAAAAUUACUUUCCCAGUACCCUAAAUGACUGCCCUUACAAAGCAAAUGCACUGCCUAAACCAUGGCUGCAUGCUUUUUCUUUACUUGGAAAGAUCUCUCGGAGAGCAUUACUAAAAAUAACUUCAUUAUCUGUAAUAGAAACUCAUCUAUCACCAUUCUAAUUAGAAUGUGACUAAAGAAAUCAGUAGUGAACAAAGGCGUUUUGGACAUUUGGUGCCUAUAAUAAUGGCUUUGAAGUUCCAGGGAAAAGUCAGUUUUCCAAAUGUCUCCUCAUUUAUAUCUCUCACUCACCAUUCUUCUCAGUUCUCAAAGAAACUGUUUUUAAAUAUAUAUAAUAAUGGUAAUAGACAUUUGCAGAAACUGGAAAAAUAGAACAGCACAAAGAAGGAAAAAAAAACCUUAUAUGCUCUCCUCUCAGAGAAAAUCACUAUUUUGAUGCGCCUGAGCAUUUUCUGCACAGAUAAGCAUUUCUGCCUACUUAGCACCAUAGUGUAUAAACUCUUUUGUUACCCACUUUCACACUUAUUAGAAUUAUUUCCUCCAUCAGGUAGAUAUUCUACAGUUUUUGGUGGUUGCACAGUAUUCUAUUUACUAAAUAGCAUUAUUUAUAAAUUUUCCACUUCACUGAAUAGUUACUGAUUUUUAUGAGCAACUGUGCUAAAUAGCCUUUUAUAUUAAUUUCUGUAAACCUGUCAUAUUGAAGAAAAAUUCCCAGAAACAGAUUUGCUGGGUCAAAUCUUUACGCAAAAUUUAAGAAUAUACAUCUUGGGAGCUCCCGUCGUGGCGCAGUGGUUAACGAAUCCGACUAGGAACCAUGAGGUUGUGGGUUCGGUCCCUGCCCUUGUUUAGUGGGUUAACGAUCCGGCGUUGCUGUGAGCUGUGGUGUAGGUUGCAGACGUGGCUCAGAUCCCGCAUUGCUGUGGCUCUGGCGUAGGCCAGUGGCUACAGCUCCGAUUUGACCCCUAGCCUGGGAACCUCCAU